GGAAGGAGCAGGGCAUCCGGCGUGAGGCGCAGCGGUCGCGUUAGUUCGGCCCAAUGGCGGCACCGCUGCUUCACACGCGUUUGCCGGGAGAUGCGGCCGCUUCGUCUUCCGCAGUCAAGACGCUGGGCGCGUCGAGGACUGGGAUUUCAAAUAUGCGUGCAUUAGAGAAUGGUUUUUUUCAAUUCUCCCCCAAGAAAAACUGUUCGGUUUGGUGGAACUGUGACAGAAGUCUUGCUGAAGUACAAAAAGGGUGAAACAAAUGACUUUGAGUUGUUGAAGAACCAGCUAUUAGAUCCAGACAUAAAGGAUGACCAGAUCAUCAACUGGCUGCUAGAAUUCCGCUCUUCUAUCAUGUACUUGACAAAAGACUUUGAGCAACUUAUCAGUAUUAUAUUGAGAUUGCCCUGGUUGAAUAGAAGUCAAACAGUAGUGGAAGAGUAUUUGGCUUUUCUUGGUAAUCUUGUAUCAGCACAGACUGUUUUCCUCAGACCGUGUCUCAGCAUGAUUGCUUCCCAUUUUGUGCCUCCCCGAGUGAUCAUUAAGGAAGGCGAUGUAGAUGUUUCAGAUUCUGAUGAUGAAGAUGAUAAUCUUCCUGCAAAUUUUGACACAUGUCACAGAGCCUUGCAAAUAAUAGCAAGAUAUGUACCAUCGACACCGUGGUUUCUUAUGCCAAUACUGGUGGAAAAAUUUCCAUUUGUUCGAAAAUCAGAGCGAACACUGGAAUGCUACGUUCAUAACUUACUAAGGAUUAGUGUAUAUUUUCCAACUUGAGGCAUGAAAUUCUGGAGCUUAUUAUUGAAAAGCUACUCAAGUUGGAUGUGAAUGCAUCCCGGCAGGAUAUUGAAGAUGCUGAAGAAACAGCAACUCAAACUUGUGGUGGGACAGAUUCCACAGAAGGAUUGUUUAAUAUGGUUAGCAGUUUAUUAAUGAAAGUGGACAUGAAGUGUAUCAUAAUCAAGGGUGGAAACAGCUAG